ACGGGAGGCAGCAGUGGGGAAUAUUGGGCAAUGGGCGGAAGCCUGACCCAGCAACGCCGCGUGAAGGAAGAAGGUUUUCGGAUUGUAAACUUCUGUCCUUGGUGACGAAGGAAGUGACGGUAGCCAAGGAGGAAGCCCCGGCUAACUACGUGCCAGCAGCCGCGGUAAUACGUAGGGGGCGAGCGUUGUCCGGAAUGACUGGGCGUAAAGGGCGUGUAGGCGGCUCUUUAAGUAUGAAGUGAAAACCCGGCUUUCAAGGGCGGGCCUGCUUUGUAGACUGGAGAGCUUGAGUGCGGAAGAGGUAAGUGGAAUUCCCAGUGUAGCGGUGAAAUGCGUAGAGAUUGGGAGGAACACCAGUGGCGAAGGCGACUUACUGGGCGAUUACUGACGCUGAGGCUCGAAAGCGUGGGGAGCAAACAGGAUUAGAUACCCUGGUA
rnacentral:rRNA from 1 species